rnacentral:rRNA from 1 species
GAUGAACGCUAGCGGCAGGCCUAAUACAUGCAAGUCGGACGGUAAAUGGCCCUUCGGGGCUAUGAGAGUGGCGCACGGGUGAGUAACACGUAUGCAACCUGCCCUUGUCAGGGGGAUAAGCGAGGGAAACCUCGUCUAAUACCGCAUAUAUGAUUUAGAGGCAUCUUUUAAUCAGGAAAGAAUUAUCGGACAAGGAUGGGCAUGCGGGACAUUAGGUAGUUGGGGGUGUAACGGACCACCAAGCCCGACGAUGUCUAGGGGUUCUGAGAGGAAGGUCCCCCACACUGGUACUGAGACACGGUCCAGACUCCUACGGGAGGCAGCAGUGAGGAAUAUUGGUCAAUGGUCGGAAGACUGAACCAGCCAAGUAGCGUGAAGGAUGAAGGUUCUAUGGAUUGUAAACUUCUUUUAUACGGGAAUAAAACACCUUACGUGUAGGGUCUUGUAUGUACCGUAUGAAUAAGCAUCGGCUAACUCCGUG